rnacentral:rRNA from 1 species
GACGAACGCUGGCGGCGUGCCUAAUACAUGCAAGUAGAACGCACAGUUUAUACCGUAGCUUGCUACACCAUAGACUGUGAGUUGCGAACGGGUGAGUAACGCGUAGGUAACCUGCCUGGUAGCGGGGGAUAACUAUUGGAAACGAUAGCUAAUACCGCAUAAUAUUAAUUAUUGCAUGAUAAUUAAUUGAAAGGUGCAAUUGCACCACUACCAGAUGGACCUGCGUUGUAUUAGCUAGUAGGUGGGGUAACGGCUCACCUAGGCGACGAUACAUAGCCGACCUGAGAGGGUGAUCGGCCACACUGGGACUGAGACACGGCCCAGACUCCUACGGGAGGCAGCAGUAGGGAAUCUUCGGCAAUGGACGAAAGUCUGACCGAGCAACGCCGCGUGAGUGAAGAAGGUUUUCGGAUCGUAAAGCUCUGUUGUAAGAGAAGAACGGGUGUGAGAGUGGAAAGUUCACACUGUGACGGUAUCUUACCAGAAAGAGACGGCUAACUACGUG